GAGGGGGCAGCAGCCGGGGACUUUGGCACGUCAUCAGUGUCUGACAUGCUCACCGCUCCCUCUGGUGCCUCCAACCUUACAAGUUUAACUAUUACAAAAUGCAGUAGUACAUCUGUGAGGUAAGUGAAAGUUGAGGAGAACCAGAUAUCUAGAAAUGUGUAAAGAAGAAAGGAGUCCGGGCAAAAGUAAAGGAAAUUUGGGGUGGAAAAAGAAAAAAUAAAGGAAGGGGAAGAGGAGGAGGCAGAACUAGGGAAUUUCAACAAGGUAAAGCUAUAAGAGGAAGUGCAACCAGUCAGGAAGACUGGGGGAGGGGCCGCAGGGCGGCUGGGUCACGUUGCCGGCGGGGCCAUUUGGGUUGUGCGCGGCGGUUGUGCGCGGGGCCUGUUGGGUUGUGACGCACAUUCCAGGCUUUUAUUGCCUUAUCCCCGAGGGCUCAACUGAGAUCUAAGAUGGCGGCGCUUGCACCCGGGCAAGUACUGCUGGCGCACGAGUUACGGAAAGGCAGCCUAAGGACGAAUUUAUUAAGGAAACCAUAGAAAUUCGCCCAUUUUUGUGUGGUGGUGAGUGCUGAGUCUUACAUCGGCUAGGAAAGUGGCCGUUAGCAAGACUACACGCUUCGGGUUGCGCGGCCUGCCUGAGUGGGGGGAGGAGUUGGCCUGUUUUUCAUUUUUCUUUCUCGCCUUUCUUCAAAAUAUCGGAGUAUAAUUUCUCCCUAAUCAUUUUACCGCCACUUGAUGAGGCGAGGUGAUUGCGGAAGCUAGCUGCCAGGAGGGAUUCUGGGUCGCUUUCGUCUCGUUUUUCCUUGUUUAAAUGGGUUUUUUUUGACACCAUGACUCCCCAAAAUGAAAGAUUCGCUCUCCCUACAGCGCUCUUAGGCAUCUUCUCUCGUGCUGCCUUUCGAGUGCAAACUUAUUUAAUAAACUAGUCAGUUUGUAACCUACUCAUUAUGGGUUAGAUGGAAAUUUUUUUUCUCUUUUAUGUAUACCUUAAGUGAGGACUUCUGGACAUGUAACAUUUGUUCUGGAAGCAUCUCAAAGGUCGGUGUGCGUGUGUGUACAGGUAAUCUUUCGGGUAUUCUUGCAUUAUUUUGUAGAUUGUUAGCUUUGAUAACUCACUAAGGAAAGAGCUAGAUUUCCCGUGUUCAAAUACCUUGGUGAAAAUAAUUUAUUUCUAGAAAUCAUAACAUUUUUAUGAGGAAGACAGUAAUACAAUUACAUCUAAUCGGUAUUAAAAUGCUUAUGUGGUUAAAUUUCAGUUAGGAAGUGCCUGUAGUUUACCCUUAUGUUGCUCAAGAGAGUAUGAAUUGCAACCUUUUGAAAAAGUAAUCUGGCAAUGCUUAGGGAAACAAAAAGUACAGAUAUCACUAGACUACAUACUGGAACCUGAUAGUCUGACUUUUAAGAAAACAUCCUAUAGAAAUAAAAGUACAUAUAAAGACACAUGAACAUGGAUGGAUGUCUUUGCAGCUUUGUUUUUGUGACAAUAUGUACUGGAAACAGCAAGUAAAUCAAUAAGAGACCAAGUAAAUUGUAGAACAUUCGUAUUUUGAAAUAUUUUGCAGCUGUGGAGACAGAUUUACCUCUACACUCUUGAUUUAGAGAAUGCCAUAAUGGAUUGUUAGGUGAGAAAAGUAAGUUGCAGAAUAUGCAGUAUGAUCCUGUGAUUAGUGUGGGGAGAGUGUGCUAAAGGAAUGUAAUAACAUUCUUUUCUUUGUCUUUUUGGGGGUCUUCUAUAUAUGUUAUGAAGUGGUUAAGACAUAUACAAACAUAUAAAGAAUAAUACAGUGAACCUCUGUUCUCACCAAACAAACACUAAAAUAAAAACUAUCAUUAUGGUUGAAGUUCACUGUACCCAUCCCUAAUUGCAUCUCUCUCUACCUUCAUCCCCAGAGGCAGCCAUUAUUUUAGUGAUUAUUCUGCGCCUGUAUUUCUUAGACUUUUGUGACCUUAUGAACCUAUUCUAACAUUUUUUUAAACAAAGUUUGAAGAGAAAUUUUUUUAGAGUCAAUUUAAAAAAUGGUGGAUUUUUAAGUGGGAUUUAAGUCUGGGUUACAGUAACGGGCCAAUUAAAAUUUCUCAUAAAUUAAAGGCAGGAUCUUAUUUUUUUUAAAACCAAAAACAGGAAUUAAGUGUUGACAAGGAAGCAGAGAAAUUGGAAGUCUUGGACAUUGCUGCUGGGAUAUAAAAUGAUGAAGCUGCUGUGGAAAACAGUUUGAUAUUACUCUAUUCUUUGGAGUAGAACAACUGGAUCAUAUGAAAUGAAGAGCAGCAGCUGAAUUUGCUGACCUCUGUAAAUCCCUUCCAGCUCUAUCCCACACAUCACAAAUGUGAAUUUUAAAGUGGGCAUUUUAAGUAUUCUCAAUGAAGUGAAGCAACAUUUUCAAUGCACGAAAAUCUCAGCAGAAGAAUGGAAACUCUUAACAAGGAAAUCUAAGUCAUGAAAAGGAAACAAAUGGAAAUUCUGAAAAGGAACAAUACAAUAUCUGAAGUGAAAAGUUCACCGAAAGGUGAAAGUACUUAUUUUCUAUAUGAUGUAUAGAUGUGACAGAGGAAAGAGUAAGUGAACUUGAAGCCAGACAGUAGAAAUUAUCCUAGGUGAAGAAAAGCUAAAAAGAUUGGGAAAAACUUAGCAGAGCCUCAGAGAUGUCUUAGAUCACAUGAAAUAGUCAAAAUACUAAAUUUGGAUGUCACAAGAGAUGAGAGAAAAAUGGUAAAAAACUUUUUUAAAGUAAUGACUGAAAAUUUCCCAAACUUGAUGAAAUAAAAAAAUGUAUAAACAUAAAAUGCUAAACCUGAAGGAUUCUAAAGGCAAAGAAGCCCUCCUUGGAUACAUUAUAAUUAAAAUGUUUAAAGCAAAAGGGAAAGUGUAAAUAUGCAGCAACAGAAAAACUGACACAUACCUGAGCACACAGUGAUUGGAUUAAUUUCUGACUUCCCAUCAGAAACCAUUCCAGCCAGAAAUGCAUGGAAUAACACUUGUAAAUUUUGAGUAAAUAAACCCAAGCAAACCUGUCAAUCCUGAGUGUAUAUUCAGUGAAAAUAUUCAGAAAUAAAGGUAAGAUAAAGGCAUUUUCAAUAAAAGAAAACUAAGUAUAUUUGUUAUAAACUAACCUGUAUUAUAGUACAUGAUGAGGGAAGUUCUUCAUGCUGAAGUAAGUGAAAUAGUGUAAACUUGGAUUCUCAAGAAAGAAUCAAGGGCAUUUCAAAUGGUAAUUAUCCGGGAAAAUGCAAAAUUUUUUUUGCCUUUUCGCUCAAUAGCUUUAUAAAAUACCUUAUUAAAGAUUAAACAUAACUUUUUAUAAAACAUAACAUUUAUAUACAUGUACUGUAUAUAAAAACAGUAACAGAAAGGACAGAGGGCUAUGAGCUUAUAAAAUUGCAAGAAGUUAAAAAAGCAAUACAUUGACUGCAAGUGGAAUAUGAUGUACUACCUUCUGUAUACAUAUUUGGGUCUAUUUCUAGACUUUUCUGAUAUUUUCCAUUGACCUGUCUGUUCAGGUGCCAAUACCACACUCUUAAUUAUAUAGACUUUGUUGUGUUAUAUUUUAUCAGACUAGUUCAUUCAUGGAGCCCUUUUUUUUUCCCCACUGCUUUCCUAGAAAUUUAUAUGGGUUUAUUUUUCCCUUUGAUGAAUUUUAGGAUCAAUUUGUCUACCUCUGCAAGAUUCAUUGGGAUUCAUAUUUUGGGUUUAGUUAAAUUUAUAUCAAUUUAUAAAAUCAUGUUUACAAAUUGAUAGAUGUCCUGAAGAUUUGGGGACAUUAUAAUCCAAGAACAAGUGAUGUCUUUUCAUUCAUUCAUUAAAUCCUUUUUGAUUUUUUAUUGUGUAUUUUAUAGCUGUCUUCACAUGUAUUUUGAACUUUUUGUCUGCUUAGUCAUAAUCUUUUCAUUUUUUUGGUUGCUAUUGUAUUUGGGGUUUUUUUCAUUGUGUCCUCUAAUGCAAGAGUCAGAAAACUGUGUAGAAACCAGAUAGUGAAUAUUUUAAGCUUUUUACAUCUUGGUCUCUGUCACACUACUUAAUUCUGCCAUGGUAGCACAAAAAUUCCCUUAGCCAAUAAAUGAAUGUGUAUAACUUUUCCAAUAAAACUUUAUUUAUAAAAACAGGCACUAGGACUUCUGUUUCAGACCAGGUGACAUAGAUACAUUUUUCCUUGUUCCUCUCCUCUAAAAUACACUGUAAUCCCUGAAAAUAAGAGGCAACCCAAGGAGAAUGUUAAAAUGUGGAAAGAGGAGCUCUAUUGAUGUGUUUGUUAGUAAGUUGUGGGGAGAGGAGUAGCAUUCUGUAAUACUAUGAUUAAGUCUCAGACUUAUGGUGAGUCUUGUGCCUUGUCUCUGACCUUCCCAAGUGAUCCAUGCUUUUUUCUCACCUUAAGUAGACAAGAAGGCUAGAAGGGGCUAGACUUGGGUAUUUUCUUUCCUCUGUGAAAGGGAUCCCUACGUCCCUGGGUUCUUUCAGCAGCAGUCGAAAUACUUCCCUCUUAACCCUGUGUGUUACCACUUCCUCACGGCUACAUUGUUCUCACUCAUUGGUAGCCUCUCAGUUUUUUAGUAUGCCAGCACUAGCCUGAGACAAACCAUAAUAUUAGAACUGCAUGGGUGCCUAAAAUCACAAGAGAAAACUUAUGUCUUUGUGUAGAGGAACAGAGAAAAUGGGCAUCUGUUCUUUGAAGUGUGAGUAGGAUUCCUGGUAUUUGAUUUGGUCUCACUGCUUUGCCCCCAAAGUGGAGUGAAUUGUGCAGAAUUGGACAGCAACCUCUAGGCUAAACUCAGAGAAUCCCAAUUUUCUGACUAGAGUAAAUGGAAGAAGACUCCAAUCACUGUGUGUAAGGAAAAUACUAGGCAGGAAAGAGCUAGAGAAGGAGAUAAACAGAAAUAUUCCAAUUUGAAGAACAGAAAAGAUUAUUUAAAAAUUGAGUGAAUCUCAGGGGAGGUAUAGGAUAUCAAAAUUUUAAAUUUCUGUGAUUAGAGUCCCAGAGAGGAGAUUGCUAUGGAAAAAUAUUUGAAGAAAUAGUUGCUUUAAAGUUUUCCACAUUUGGUAAAAGAUGAAGUUUUAGAUUAAAAAAAUUCAAUUAACCACAGGGUUAACCCCCAAAAAACCUAGCCCAGACACAUCACAAUCAAGCUGGUGAAAAGGAAAGAUGAAUAAAAAAUGGCAAAAGAUAAAUAGGGAGGAAAUAUAUAGGACAACUACUGAAGUAAUUACAGAUUUCUCAGAAUCAGUGAAAGUGAGGAGACACUCUUCAUCUUGAUGAGAGCAAAGAAAUGUAAACCCAGAAUUCUAUAUGCAGUAUAAAUACCCUUCAGGAAUGAAAAUGAAUAAAGAUACCCUCAGAUGCUGAAGAUCUAAGAUAAUUCGUCUUCAGAUCUGUUCUAAAAGAAAAGUUAAUUGAUGUUCUUUGAGGUAAAUGGAAAUGAUUCCAGAGAGUAUCUUGGAACUUAGUGUGAUAGAACAAAGUAAAUGGUAAAUAUUUAGGUAAAUAUUAUGAAAUGUUUUCAAAAUUUGUUAUUUAAAAUAUGUGUAACUCUUGAAAGAAAAACAUAAUUGUCAUACCUAGGGUUUCAAGUAUAUAGAUAAUGACAUUAUAAUUAUGGCACAAAAAUCUGUGAUUAAACAUUGUAAUGCUUCUACAUUUGCACUUCAGUGGUAAAACAUUAACUAGAAUGUGGAAUGAUAUAUAUGUAUAAUUCUCUAAAAACCGGUAAGUCAAUAAAAUUUCAAAUGAUAAUAUAGUCUCUGUCUCACACACAAACAGUAAACCAUCCGAGAAAGGAUAAAAUAUAGGAGACAACUGAACCUUAAUAAGGGAGGGGUCUAAGAAGGUGGCAUAGAAAGAGACUGAAAUCACCCCCUUCCACAUACACAUUUAAAUCUACUCCUGCAUAGGGAGCAGAUCCUCCUGAAGAACUGAGGGCUGAGUGAACAGCUUCUGUACAACAACACAUAGGGAAACCAUACAGCAUGGCAGGAGAGAUGGAGAUAUGAUAAUGAAAAACUUCACUCCUGAAAGUGGCAACCUGCCAUAGGGAGGAAUAUGACUGAGGGACCCACACACACAUUUUCCUACCUUGGGGCACAGAAAAAGCCCAGUUUAAAGGGCAACUGGAGGAUAAGUGAAGUAUAAAUACAUUUAUUAACACUAGAGCAUCCACCAAAUGCUAAAGGAACUGCUGGAGCACUCUCUGAGAUUAGAGGUGCUGGUAAACACCACUGUCUGUGUUCUGCCUACAUCUUGAUUGCAUGGACCAGAGCAGGAUCUGGGAUUGCCAGUCUGCCUGCCACUUACGUGAGUCCUGUGUGCCUUGCCUACACCAGCUCUAGAUGUUCCUCCAAGGUGACCACACUGCCCACAACUGCCCAAAAUUGGGUAGACCCACGGAGGUAGCACCAGACUUGUGCACACAAGGACACCCCCAGCCCACACAUGCUCUUCUUCUAGCUGUCCUGCCAGAACCCCUGUGUGGAGUGUUCUGGAACCCAACAUCCUUUGCCAAAUUGGCUUCUUGUUGCCCUGCCAGAGCAUCCUCUGCAUGAAGCACAUCAGGAUCCCCUGGAUUGUGCCACCUCACCCUCUAGCCACCCCACCAGGGUGUCUGCUGUGAGAGUGCACCUGGAGCCCCUGGUACAUGCCAACUAGGACAAGCAUUCCAUCAGGGUGCCCUGUACACGGAGCACCCAGGGCCUCUCCCCCUCACCCCCCUCCCAGCCUGCAAUGAUUUAUGACCACAGCAGUCUUGCCAGGGCACCUCCUGUGCAGAGUGCCCUGGGAACUCCAGAACCACAUCUACAUUAGUUCCAGUCAGCUGGUCAAAGCUGCCAAGCAUAUUAUGCAGUCUACCUAGGAGGUAUUCCUACACAAGGCCAUUCCUUUAACACUGGGAAAAGUAGCUGUUUCACCUAAUCCAUAGAAACAAACACAGAAACUCAAAAUGAGACAGAAGAAUAUCCAAAUGAAAGAAUAAGAACUUCAGAUAAUGAACUCAAUGAAACAGAAGCAAUCUACCUGAAUAAAAUAGUUAAAAGUAAUGGUUAUAAAGACACUCAUUGGACUUGAGAGAAAAGUUCAUGAACUCAGAACCUCAACAAAGAGAGAGAAAAUAUUUUUAAAAAGAACCAAUUAGAGUUGAAUACAAUAAACAAAAUGAAAAAUACAGAAGGAAUCAACAGCACAUUGGAGGAGAUAGAAGGAAUCUGCAAUCUUGAGGACAGUUGUAAUAGCACCUAAGAUGAACACAGAAAGAAAAAAAUUUUUUAAGUGAGGAUAGGUUAAGGAACACCUGGGACAAUAUCAAACAUACCUAACAUUCACAUUAUAGUCCCAGAAGGAGAAGACAGAGGGAUAAGGGCAGAAAACAUUUGAAGAAAAACUUGCUGGAAAGUUCCCCAUCCUGGGGAAAAAGACAUGUAAGUCCAGGAUGCACAGAGAUCCCCAAACAAUAUGAAUCCAAAGAAGACCACAUCAAGGCAAAUAAUUAAAAUGUCAAAUACUAAGAGAGUCUUAAAAGCAGCAAGAGAAAACAAGUUACAUACAAAGGAGAUCCCAUAGUCUCUCAGCUGAGUUUUCAUCAGAAACAUUACAGAACAGAAGGCAGUGGCAUGAUAUAUUCAAAGUGCUGCCUGGAGAAAAACCUAUAACCAAUAAUAUUCUACCUGAAAAGUUACUUGGAAUUGGAGCGUUUCUCAGACAAAAAAAACAUGUUAAAGGAGUUUACAACCACUAAAUUUGCCUUACAAGAAAUGUUAAGGGGAGUUCUUUAAGAUAAAAAGAACAGGCCAUAAUUUCAAGUAAGAAAUUUAUUAGAAAAGGAGAAAAAUUCACUGUUAAAAACAAAGUAGUAGAUGAGUCACUUAGAAGCUAAUAUGAAGGUUAAAAGACAGACAUAGUAAAAUCAAUUAUAUCUAAAUUUUAGUUAAGGGAAACAAAAAGGUAUGAAAUAUGACAUACACAUAAAACAUGGAGGAAGGGGGGAACAAUGCUUUUAGAAUGCAUUCAAACUUAAGAAACCACCCACUAAUAGGCUAACGUAUACUUAGGGUGUCAUAUAUGACCCUGUGGUAACCACAAACCAAAAACUUAUAGAUAGGUGGAAGAAAUAAAGGAAUCAAACAUAACCCUAAAGAAAGUCAUAAAACUGCAAGAGAGCAGGAGGAGAGGAAAGGUACAAAAAAGUACAAAAACAGAACAGUUAAAUGGCAAUAAGUAUGCACCUAUCCAUAAUUACUCUAAAUGGCCUAAGGUGCUGCAAUUAAAGUUCAUAGGUUGGCUAAAUGGAUUUUAAAAACCCCAGACCUAUCUAUAUGCUGCCUACAAGAGACUCACCUCAGAUCUAAGGACACACAUACUGAAACUGAAGAUGUUAAAAAAAAAUACUACAUGCAAAUGGAAGUGAAGAAAUAAAAAACUGGAAUAGCACUAUUUAUAUCUGUCAAAAUAAACUUAAAAGACUAUAAUAAGCAGUACAUAAUGAUGGAUCAACCCAAGAGAAUAUGAAAACUAUAGGUAUUCUCCCAAAAUAGGGCACCUGAAUAUAUAAAGCAAAUAUUACCAAGAAUAAAGGAAGACAUUGACAGUAGUACAACAAUAGGGGAUUUUACAUCCCACUUAAGUCAAUGUAUCUUGCAGACAGAAAAUCAGUAAGGAAACAGUGGCUUUGCAUGACACAUUAGACUAGUUGGACUUAACUAAUAUAAAGUCUCAUUAAAGAUAUUGUAUCAGGGACCUCUUACUACAAUGGUAUGAAAUUAGAAAUCAGAAAAAAAUGAAAAAAACACAUGGAGGCAAAACAACAGGCCACUGAACAAACUGGUUCAAUGAACAAAUUAUAAAGGAAUACAAAAAUAUGUGAAGACAGACAAAGACACACAAUGGCUCAAUAUCUUUGGGAUGCAGCCUAAGAGGUAAGUUUUUAGCUAUACAGGUCUACGUCAAGGAACAAGAAAAAUCUCAAUCUAAAAACAUGCCUAAAGGAACUAGAAUAAUGAGAACAAAGCCCAAAGUUAGUAGAAG